AGUGUCAGAAAUUGCCUAACUAAAACCUGAGGUUCCCAUGGCCACCUUAGCAAUAGAGCAGAGCUGAAAGCUGAAAGGAAAAGCCACUUGUGGGGCUUUGGUAACCACGAAAACCAACAACAAUCUGGAGAGGGACGCAACUAAGGGCAGGUGAGAGCUCAAGGGAUCAGGAUUCUGCAGCUGCCAAUCAUGUGCUCCUGAAUGAAGAGAGGUUCAUUGCUUGCUGCCUUAUAAU